AGAUUCGCUUUAGGCUUGCUUUCGGAGCUACGAACGAGUCCGCGUGACUCAAUCGCUCUGGGGAAAGUCCCCGGACACACCGGCAUUACGUGCCGCAUGGAAUACCAUGUCGUCCUUCUCUCGAUCCAACCCAAACUUUGAAGGCGUUUGCCCGAGUGGGUCAGAUCUUUAUUGGGAGGAGGAACUUGUCUAAGUAUAAAAUAGUUAUGCAAGCGAGGCAUUGCUGUCUUAACUCAAUGGGGCUUACUCAAAGCGGAUC
rnacentral:RNase_MRP_RNA from 1 species